GCGGGGUUAGCUCAGCUGGGAGAGCGUCAGACUGAAGAUCAACUUCACUCUUGAAAUCUGAAGGUCAUGUGUUCGAUCCACAUACACCGCA